AGGUGGUGCAUGGUUGUCGUCAGCUCGUGUCGUGAGAUGUUGGGUUAAGUCCCGCAACGAGCGCAACCCUUGAUCUUAGUUGCCAGCAUUCAGUUGGGCACUCUAAGGUGACUGCCGGUGACAAACCGGAGAAAGGUGGGGAUGACGUCAAAUCAUCAUGCCCUUUAUGACCUGGGCUACACACGUGCUACAAUGGACAGAACAAAGGGCAGCGAAACCGCGAG
rnacentral:rRNA from 1 species